GCGAAUUUAGCGACAGACAAACAGACGGGAGAGUGAAAAGCAAUUUUGCGUUAAUGGAUACGUUACGUUAAUUUAUUUCAUGUUUCGCCUCGGAUUUCUGCGCUAAACUUCACGAUCAGACGUUACAUUUAACAUCGUACUGGGAACAUGACUUGGAAACUCGGAUAAUAAAAAUUAACCGCCUAUUUUGGCUACCUUGUUUAUAUCAACAGAUAUAAAAUGCAAAACGCAAUAUUUGACUUGCUAAAACAGCCCCAUUUUUCGAAUCGGUCCUACAAAAAAAGAAAUCCAUUAACAAAAGCUGAUGCUCAUGUCUGAUUUUAAACAAUCCUGGAAGCCUAAUAAUGCCCGUAUUAGAAAUCAAAGUUUCUAUGUUAGAAAAAAGUAUCUCUCGACAAAGACAAAGUCAUAUUCAGUCUUUCCCUAUAUGCCGACCCGUCUUGCAACCGAAGGUUCGGAAUAAAUAAGAGUAAGUGCUUUUGUUAUCUGCGACGUAUUUUUUAUAUCUUUCAAACAAGUACCAUUCUCAGUUUACUCUUCUUACUUUUCCUACCGAUCAAAUCUCCACUUGCGGAAGGUAUACUAUAAGCAGCGCUUGUUAGGUUGCAAUUUAGCCUAGGCAAUGAAAGUUCAGCUCUGAGAUAUUACGAAAAAAAGAAGAAAUAGACUAUGAUUAAAAUGACGCACGCCAGAAUUGACCAGAAUCGAGGUUCGUUCGAUUCUUCUGUAAGCACCAUUCGAAAAUCGAUGGAGUACAGACCCCGCGAUGAGCAUUCUAUUAGUUGAGAGGGACCUAGAAUACCUUCUCAAAUUAUUUUGCAUUUCAUUUAGGUUGAAUCUUCGUUUAUUUAGCCAGGAUAUGUGAUACAAAAACAAAUAUGCGAUAUACAAUAUGAAGAAGAUUUACAACAGUCAGAGUGUUACGAUUUUAAGGGGAAAAAGGGA